rnacentral:rRNA from 1 species
UACGGAGGGUGCAAACGUUGCUCGGAAUCAUUGGGCGUAAAGCGCACGUAGGCGGACUGUUAAGUCGGAUGUGAAAUCCCUCAGCUUAACUGAGGAAGUGCACUCGAAACUGGCAGUCUUGAAUAUGGAAGAGGGUCGCGGAAUUCCCGGUGUAGAGGUGAAAUUCGUAGAUAUCGAGAGGAACACCGGUGGCGAAGGCGGCCUUCUGGACCGGCAUUGACGCUGAGGAGCGAAAGCCAGGGGAGCAAACGGG